AAGGAAAGAAGAUGUUGAAUAGUUCUAUAAAACAAUUCUCACAAGUUCAAAGUAGUUUUUAUUAAACGACCAACCAAUGUUAAACCCUUCUUGAAAGUAGUAUAUAUAUCUAGAAAGAGUGAAGACAUUAUUAGGUCCAAUGUGUGUUCAGGAUGAUCGCAAUAUUUACGAAAAUAAGUAGAUGCUGCAUGACUGCUAACCAGACAACUAUCCACAAAAACAAAGGUCCUUGAUUAUAUAUACAUAUAUGUUAUAUAAAUGUAUAUAUUACCCUCAUAAACCAUUACAUUAAUACUUAUUUACUCAGGAA
rnacentral:lncRNA from 1 species